UGGGGGAUAGUCUAGAGGUAGGACGGCGGGCUCUGGACCCGUAAGGGGAGGUUCGAAUCCUCCUCCCCCAGCCA
rnacentral:tRNA from 1 species